CACGUAGGGGGGCGAGCGUUGUCCGGAUUUAUUGGGCGUAAAGAGCUCGUAGGCGGCUCAGUAAGUCGGGUGUGAAAACUCCAGCUCAACCUGGAGACGCCACCUGAUACUGCUGUGGCUAGAGUCCGGUAGGGGAGCGUGGAAGUUCCUGGUGGUAGCGGUGAAAUGCGCAGAUAAUCAGGAAGAACACCAAUGGCGAAAGCAGCUCUCUGGGAACGGUACUGACGGCUGAGACGCGAAAGCGUGGGGAGCGAACAGGAUUAAGAAACCCUGGGUAGGUCCAAGACCGAAUGUACCU
rnacentral:rRNA from 1 species